UGAGCCAACCAGGCAAUCGCUAUUGAUAUUUCAGUAGAGGAAAGUCCGGGCUCCACAGGGUAAGGUGCCAGGUAACACCUGGGGGACGUGAGUCCACGGAAAGUGCAGCAGAAAAUAUACCGCCCGGUUUGACCGGGUAAGGGUGAAAUGGUGCGGUAAGAGCGCACCGCAGAUACGGUAACGUGUCUGGCAGUGUAAACCCCACCUGGAGCAAGGUUAAAUAGGAGAAAAGAAACGGCCCGUUUCACUAUUAUUCUCGGGUAAACCGCUUGAGGCAUGCUGUGAAGCAUGUCCCAGAUAAAUGACUGUACACGACAGAACCCGGCUUAUCGGUUGGCUCUUAUA
rnacentral:RNase_P_RNA from 1 species